GUGAAAAGUAAUAAGAGACGCAACUUGAUCAAUUUAUAUGAGGCUUGUGCGGGCACCGACAAAUAGAUGCGCCAGUUGUCAAAAGGCACCGAGAUCACAGAGUACUUGACUUUUAUUCGGUGCCGAGGCCCGAGAUGUUUCAGUGACGUAAUUGAUUGGAAAGUGUUGGUGAUGACGUCACGACAGGGCUGCCAAAUAAACAGCUGAUGGAAAUAAAACAAUUCAUUCACAAAACACAAAUUCAUUUUUAGUGCGCGUUUUGCAAUGGCGUUUUGUUUCCGAUUUCCCUUUUUAGUGUUACUGUCGUGGAUGUCCACAUGAUUCAAGACGGGGAAACGUGCAGUUGUUCCGAUUUCCAGCAGAAAAUAAACAAUUUUACAAGUGGAAAAAGAUGUGCAGUAGAGCGAGUCAAUCGAGAUCCGAAGUAGAGUGAUGGU